rnacentral:rRNA from 1 species
UACGUAGGGGGCAAGCGUUGUCCGGAAUCAUUGGGCGUAAAGCGCGUGUAGGCGGCUCGGUAAGUCCGCUCUGAAAGUCCAGGGCUCAACCCUGGGAUGCGGGUGGAUACUGCCGGGCUCGAGUCCGGAAGAGGCGAGUGGAAUUCCCGGUGUAGCGGUGAAAUGCGCAGAUAUCGGGAGGAACACCAAUGGCGAAGGCAGCUCGCUGGGACGGUACUGACACUGAGACGCGAAAGCGUGGGAGCGAACGAGG